GUAGUCUCGCACAGAUGCAUAUCAAUAAGCGGAGGAAAAGAAACUAACAAGGAUUCCCCUAGUAACGGCGAGUGAAGCGGGAAGAGCUCAAAUUUGAAAUCUUAAAGGGUUUCCCUUUACGAAUUGUAGUUUAAAGAAGUGUUUUCUGUUGAGGUUUUGGUACAAGUUCUUUGGAAUAGGACAUCAUAGAGGGUGAGAAUCCCGUAUUUGACCUUUACUUUCAACCUUGUGAUACACUUUCAAAGAGUCGGAUUGUUUGGGAAUGCAGUCCAAAAUGGGUGGUAAAUUUCAUCUAAAGCUAAAUAUUGGCGAGAGACCGAUAGCGAACAAGUACCGUGAGGGAAAGAUGAAAAGAACUUUGAAAAGAGAGUUAAACAGUACGUGAAAUUGUCAAAAGGGAAGCGUUUGACACCAGUGUUGUUUUUCUGAAAAUCAAUUAAAGAACUGUUUAUGCUAAGUUGUUUAGACUUUAUCAGCUAUCUGCUUUAGUUUUGAGCUUUUCUUUAAUGCACUUUUCAGUUAACAAGUCAACAUCAAUUUCUUUUGCUGUAAAAAAGCUUGAGGAAGGUGGCUUGAGAUUCGUCUUAAGUGUUUAUAGCCUCUUGCCUAUGCAGUCGGAGAGAUUGAGGUCUGCAGCGUAGAUCCUUCGGGGCUAAAUGCAUUUGUGCUAAGUUAUAGCAUUUUAUAGACAACUUGUUGACUAUGAUUUGUCUUGUAGCUUACUCGCUUAUGUUAUUUUACCUACGCUUAGGAUGUUGACAGCAGUAUAGACUGU
rnacentral:rRNA from 1 species